rnacentral:rRNA from 1 species
GCUUGUCUCAAAGAUUAAGCCAUGCACGUCAAGUAUAAAUUUUACAUUGUGAAACUGCGAACGUCUCAUUAUAUCAGUUAUAGUUUAUUUGAUAGUCCCUUACUCCUUGAAUAACCGUAGUAAUUCUAGAGCUAAUACAUACAUCAAUAGCCUUCUCGGGUAGUAUUAUUAGAUUGAAACCAACCCCUUUGGGGUGAUGUGGUGAUUCAUAAUAAGUAUACAAAUCGCAUGACUUUGUCUGCAAUGGAUCAUUCAAGUUUCUGUCCUAUCAGCUUUUGAUGGUAGGGUAUUGGCCUACCAUGGCUUUAACCUAACGGAGUAUUAGGGUUUGAUUCCGGAGAGGGAACCUGAGAGACGGCCUACCACAUCCAAGGAAGGCAGCAGG